UUGAUACAUGUGGAGUCGUCAGCCGCUUCUUUUCACCUGACAGUGAGGAGUUUCGCCAGGGGGACAUAGCGCGUGGGAGGAUCACGCUAGUUCCCCCUGCCCCCAGAACAGGCUCCCCAACCGACCAGAGGAGGCGCUAGUGCAGCGACCAGGACACAUACCCACAUCCGGCUUCCAACCCGCAGACACAGCCAAGUGUGUCUUUGGGGACGCCCAAUCAAGCCGGACGUAACACAGCGGAUUCGAACUGGCGAUCCCCGUGUUGGUACUGCCACGGCAGCAAUUUGAAAACGCAAAAAGAAGGAAAGGUGAACCAAGAGUACAGAGGUAAUGAUUUGCCAUCGCCACCUGGAAAACGCUGAUGUGCGGAGUGGACGUCAGAAACAGCAGAGGCCCGGAUGUCGAGCACAAAAAUUGAGCUCCUGGGCUGUUCCCGCUGCGUCUGGACACUGCUUGGCAUCCUCCUCAUCUUAUUCUUCAUAUAUUUUAUAAUUCCCUUACAAUUCUGUUAUCCUCUUUCAAUGUUGUAUUCUGUAAAUUGUGUUUUAUUCGCACAACAUCUAUUGCACGUUGUCCGUCUUGGGAGGGAGAUCCCUCCUCUGUAGCUCUCCGUGAGGUUUCUUCCUAUUUUUCCUCCCUGUUAAAGGGUUUUUUUUUUUUAGGGAGUUGUUCCUUAUCCGAUGCGAGGGUCUAAGGACAGGAUGUUGUGUUCCUGUAAAGUCCCCGGAGGCAGUUUUGUGAUAUUGGGCUAUACAAAUAAAAAUGA